rnacentral:rRNA from 1 species
AGUGAACGCUGGCGGUAGGCCAAACACAUGCAAGUCGAGCGGCAGCACAGUAAGAGCUUGCUCUUACGGGUGGCGAGUGGCGGACGGGUGAGGAAUACAUCGGAAUCUACUUUUUCGUGGGGGAUAACGUAGGGAAACUUACGCUAAUACCGCAUACGACCUACGGGUGAAAGCAGGGGAUCUUCGGACCUUGCGCGAUUGAAUGAGCCGAUGUCGGAUUAGCUAGUUGGCGGGGUAAAGGCCCACCAAGGCGACGAUCCGUAGCUGGUCUGAGAGGAUGAUCAGCCACACUGGAAAUGAGACACGGUCCAGACUCCUACGGGAGGCAGCAGUGGGGAAUAUUGGACAAUGGGCGCAAGCCUGAUCCAGCCAUACCGCGUGGGUGAAGAAGGCCUUCGGGUUGUAAAGCCCUUUUGUUGGGAAAGAAAAGCAGCAGGUUAAUACCCCGCUGUUCUGACGGUACCCAAAGAAUAAGCACCGGCUAACUUCGUG